AUUGAACGCUGGCGGCAUGCCUUACACAUGCAAGUCGAACGGCAGCACGGGUGCUUGCACCUGGUGGCGGGUGGCGAACGGGUGAGUAAUACAUCGGAACAUGUCCUGUAGUGGGGGAUAGCCCGGCGAAAGCCGGAUUAAUACCGCAUACGAUCUACGGAUGACAGCGGGGGACCUUCGGGCCUCGCGCUAUAGGGUUGGCCGAUGGCUGAUUAGCUAGUUGGUGGGGUAAAGGCCUACCAAGGCGACGAUCAGUAGCUGGUCUGAGAGGACGACCAGCCACACUGGGACUGAGACACGGCCCAGACUCCUACGGGAGGCAGCAGUGGGGAAUUUUGGACAAUGGGCGAAAGCCUGAUCCAGCAAUGCCGCGUGUGUGAAGAAGGCCUUCGGGUUGUAAAGCACUUUUGUCCGGAAAGAAAUCCUUGGCCCUAAUACGGUCGGGGGAUGACGGUACCGGAAGAAUAAGCACCGGCUAACUACGUG
rnacentral:rRNA from 1 species